rnacentral:lncRNA from 1 species
AUUAAUUGUUGUAAUUUACCCACGUUUUAUUUUCUCAUGCCAUAUUUGUCUUACGCUUUAUUAGGUUUUACUAAAAAACUCCAAUGCGAAUAAUAAGAAAAAAAUAAAACCGGGAUGUACUAUUUUCGUUUUUUAUCUACCAAAUGACUGGAGUGACAAAGACUUAAAAAGGCAUUUUUCGCAUUAUGGUAAUAUAUUAGGUGCUACAAUAAAAAGAGAAAAUAAUGGUAAAAGCAGAGGUUAUGGUUUUAUAAAUUUUGAACAUCAACAUAGUGCGGUCAAUGCUGUUGCUGGAAUGAAUGGUUUUAAUGUUGGGAAUAAAUAUUUAAAAGUUUCCAUAAAAAAGGGAGAAGAACAGUAUUUAGCACCACAUUAUUUGAAUAUGCAUCGAAGACCAAACAAUUUGUAUACUGUUGCUCCACCACCACCUCCUCCCUUAAGAUGUCAUUCAAACGACUCACCAGAGUAUAAUGCGAAUGAAUUAUUUUCUUCUAUUCAAAACACUUUACAAAAUAAUAGAUUUAAUACGAGGGUUAAUAACAACGAUGUACAUCAACCUUUUAUGAAUUCGCACUAUGGACAUUUCAUUAUAACUUUUUUAAAAAUAACGACCAUGGACAAUAUAUUCAGCGAUCUUAUAAUAAAAAUUUUAACAACGUUGGAAAAACCUGAACUUAUUAAAAUUUUUAACAUAGUGAUAUACGUAUACAUAUAAACGUGUGGUAAAUAUAUGUACACGUGUGGUAAUUACAUGUAUACGUUUACGCUAAAAAAAAAAAAAAUAAAAAAUAAAUUGUAAUAUAUAUAUAUAUAUAU